rnacentral:rRNA from 1 species
GACGAACCGUGCAAACGUUGUUCGGAUUCACUGGGCUUAAAGGGCGCGUAGGCGGGUGGUCAAGUCAGGGGUGAAAUCUUUCAGCUCAACUGGAAAACAGCUUCUGAUACUGGCCAUCUUGAGGGAGGUAGGGGCAUGUGGAACUUCCGGUGGAGCGGUGAAAUGCGUAGAUAUCGGAAGGAACGCCGGUGGCGAAGGCGGUUCUCUGGGCCUUACCUGACGCUGAGGAGCGAAAGCGUGGGGAGCGAACAGG